ACUCCUGAUAACUGCUGUGGGCUGUUUACGUCUCUGUCCGUGAUGUCGACAUGCUUAUCCUGAUUCAGCUUGGUUUCCUCAUGUGCAGAUGCAGCUCCACAUACACAACACAGUGAGACUGACGCGU